AUGGAGACUGGUAAGAAAAGCUUUACCUACAGGGAAGAGAGCAGGAAUGACAAAGUUUUUCAAAGAAAAGAUGCAUCUCCAAUACAGGUCUUCCAUGCGGCUCAAGCAAUCAUAAACAGUUUGUCUUUGGAACAAAAUAUAAAUAUGCAGGAAACAGCUACUUCUGAAACAGGAAAGGAUUGCAAGCAUAAGGAAGACAAAUAUGUUCAAGGGAAUACAGUUAAUCUGACUGAAAUUUCAACCUCAACGAAAAUAUUCACGGAUGCAGCUUGGAAUAAACAGGAACAAUCAAGUGUGAACGGAACAGGGAAAACAGGUAUAGGGAUAUCCAUAGAAGGACAAGAAAGACGAACAAAAUGGCAGAUCAAGAUUUCCGCAACAGCAAUGCAAGCUCAAUCAGCGAUACAUGCCGAAGCCUUGGCGAUCAAGUUAGCAGCCAUCAUCAUAAACAUGGCAGGAAUACAUGAGGCUGCCAUUCUAACGGAUAAUUUAACUUUAGCAAAAGCAGCAGCGGCAAGGGAACCAACCAGGCAGCCUGGACACUGGAUGAUUAGAGGUAUAUUAGCAGAUUUCUGUGCCCUCACAAGCUCAAGCCAUGUCCAGGUAUUCCAUGUAAGAAGGAACCAAAACUCGGUAGCUCAUGAUGCAGCAAAGCUAGCUUAUUCGCAGGAAUUUAAUCCAAAUCAACACUGUGUAACUACUUGUACUAUUGCUGAACAUCAACGCUGGCAUCAUUCCCUGAAGCAGGUUAUCCAAGAUGUAUCACAAAAGGGUUAUGCCAUUAAUCAUGUAAGCUGUUGUUAUAAUGAAUGA
rnacentral:rRNA from 1 species